rnacentral:rRNA from 15 species
CUAACUACGUGCCAGCAGCCGCGGUAAUACGUAGGUGACGAGCGUUGUCCGGAAUUAUUGGGCGUAAAGGGAGCGCAGGCGGUUGGAAUAGUCUGAUGUGAAAGCCCACGGCUUAACCGUGGAAGGUCAUUGGAAACUGUCCAACUUGAAUGCAGAAUAGGAAAGCGGAAUUCCAUGUGUAGCGGUGAAAUGCGUAGAUAUAUGGAGGAACACCAGUGGCGAAAGCGGCUUUCUGGUCUGUGAUUGACGCUGAGGCUCGAAAGCGUGGGUAGCGAACAGGAUUAGAUACCCUGGUAGUCCAUGCCGUAAACGGUGGGCGCUAGGUGUAGGGGACUUCCACGUCUUCUGUGCCGUAGCUAACGCAUUAAGCGCCCCGCCUGGGGAGUACGGCCGCAAGGCUAAAACUCAAAGGAAUUGACGGGGGCCCGCACAAGCGGCGGAGCAUGCGGAUUAAUUCGAUGCAACGCGAAGAACCUUACCAAGGCUUGACAUAUACCGGAAACGGCCAGAGAUGGUCGCCCCGCAAGGUCGGUAUACAGGUGGUGCAUGGUUGUCGUCAGCUCGUGUCGUGAGAUGUUGGGUUAAGUCCCGCAACGAGCGCAACCCUCGUUCUAUGUUGCCAGCACGUUAUGGUGGGAACUCAUAGGAGACUGCCGGGGUCAACUCGGAGGAAGGUGGGGAUGACGUCAAAUCAUCAUGCCCCUUAUGUCUUGGGCUUCACGCAUGCUACAAUGGCCGGUACAAAGGGCUGCGAUACCGUAAGGUGGAGCGAAUCCCAAAAAGCCGGUCUCAGUUCGGAUUGGGGUCUGCAACUCGACCCCAUGAAGUCGGAGUCGCUAGUAAUCGCAGAUCAGCAACGCUGCGGUGAAUACGUUCCCGGGCCUUGUACACACCGCCCGUCACACCACGAGAGUUUGUAACACCCGAAGCCGGUUGGCCAACCUUUUAGGAGGCCGCUGUCGAAGGUGGGAUGGAUGAUUGGGGUGAAGUCGUAACAAGGUAGCCGUACCGGAAGGUGCGGCUGGAUCACCUCCUU